CAGGGAUUGCCCUAGUAACGGCGAGUGAAGCGGCAACAGCUCAAAUUUGAAAUCUGGCCUCUUUUGGGGUCCGAGUUGUAAUUUGCAGAGGGCGCUUUGGCGUUGGCAGCGGUCCAAGUUCCUUGGAACAGGACGUCACAGAGGGUGAGAAUCCCGUACGUGGUCGCUGGCCUUCGCCGUGUAAAGCCCCUUCGACGAGUCGAGUUGUUUGGGAAUGCAGCUCUAAAUGGGAGGUAAAUUUCUUCUAAAGCUAAAUACUGGCCAGAGACCGAUAGCGCACAAGUAGAGUGAUCGAAAGAUGAAAAGCACUUUGGAAAGAGAGUCAAACAGCACGUGAAAUUGUUGAAAGGGAAGCGCUUGCAGCCAGACUUGCCUGUAGUUGCUCAUCCGGGCUUUUGCCCGGUGCACUCUUCUAUAGGCAGGCCAGCAUCAGUUUGAGCGGUUAGAUAAAGGUCUCUGUCAUGUACCUCUCUUCGGGGAGAACUUAUAGGGGAGACGACAUGUAACCAGCCCAGAUUGAGGUCCGCGCAUUUGCUAGGAUGCUGGCGUAAUGGCUGUAAGCGGCCCGUCUUGAAACACGGACCAAGGAGUCUAACAUCUAUGCGAGUGUUUGGGUGUCAAGCCCGAGCGCGCAAUGAAAGUGAACGGAGGUGGGAACCCCUCGGGGUGCACCAUCGACCGAUCCUGAUGUCUUCGGAUGGAUUUGAGUAAGAGCAUAGCUGUUGGGACCCGAAAGAUGGUGAACUAUGCUUGAAUAGGGUGAAGCCAGAGGAAACUCUGGUGGAGGCUCGCAGCGGUUCUGACGUGCAAAU
rnacentral:rRNA from 1 species